AUCAUUUAUUUAUGUCGCAGCUUAAACACGUUAAAGCGUCCUACAUUUCUUAGUAAUUUCACCGAAGUGAAAAGCAAGAAAGCGCGAGGAUAAUCAAUUUUUUCACACACCGGUAGCAUCUCUGCAACCAUUGCAGAAUGUUUUCGAAAAAUGUAUCGAGAGCAUCGCGAUGAAAUCUGUGGGAGGUAACAAAGUAGAACAAAGCGGUGAACUUGAUCCAAGGGACACGUUGUCGCGAACAAAAAGAUGCGCUGCUGGGUUAAGUGCGUGUGAAUCGAGCUUGAGGCAACACACGCGCCACGUUGCACGCUGCGCGCGAGAAUGCGCGAAAGAGGAGGACGCUAGUCCUCGUCGUACUCGUUGGACAUGGUUUGUUUGCAUUCCGCGACCAUGAAGCGGUCGUCAGUCUUCCAUGAAAAUUAUCGUCGCGCAUGGGGCCCAAUGCCCUUCGUCUACCAACUUAUCUCUCUUUUCCGCUUAACUUUUUUUUUUUCUUUACUCGUCUGUACAUACAUAUGUGUGCACGAGUUUCGUACGAAGUUUCUCUACACGCCUUGAGAAGUCGCGACAAUCAAGGAAUUGCAGAGGACGAUCGCGUCGAACAAUGGCUACGCUGUCGUCGAUACGUCGCAUCGUUUACCUCUUCCUUUUGUAUCGUCCUUUUUCAACGUUCACGAUUACUUUGUUUUUCUAUUUUUCGUUAAUACGUUUGGAUAACGUUAUCGCCAUUAGCCUUUGAGAGACUAACAACACAAAGGAUCAAAACUGUAUUUAUCAGAAGACCAUCCUGCUCGAGUCACUUGUUCGGAUCUAUAAUUUCAAUAAGGUGCAAGUGAUACGAAAGGUACGAUCGAGAUUGAAGAGGCCAUAAAGGCGUAAAUCUCGCAGUGAUCGGUAGUCAAUCUUCGUAUGCAAAUAUGGUGCACGGUUAAGUGCAUGACGGUGCAAUUUCACGUAGAGGCCAACGUGCCUCGGCGUCACUUCAUUGCUGAAACCAGCAGAAUUUAUUACGAUUGAAUUUAAUAUUUACUCUACUAACUUCGAAGCACUGGUUCAACCUAUCGCAACGAACACCGACACCGUUUGCGGAGAAAAAGAAGCAGCGACAGCAAUGGAGCAAUGGCAGCCACCGUUGAUGUUGAAUUUCAAAGGGAACAAUGACAGACUGACGGUAAUAUCGGCCUCAGGAGAACUUAAUCACGAAAUGUCGGCCGAGUAAACUAAAGCCGUGGCUAAUAUUUCAAUGUCAUGGUGAUUUCUCCAGAUUAAGAAAGACAAGUUGCAGAAAAAUCGUUUUUACAUAAAUAAGGACAAUCCUCUGUGUAAUCUUCCUCUAUUGAUCAGCAAUUUUAACCAAUCAUAACCGAUAAUAACCCGACAUGAUAAUUAUCGCGAGAAUUAUUUGAAGCAACGUUUAGGUUACUAGUGCCUUCGUGUAGUAUCUUUGUUAUCUUGAAAUUUUCCAAUGGGAAAUCGAUUUACUCGUGAAAAAGGUGUGAAUAUCUCGGACAGGUCUUUAUCGAAGUCCAUUUCACGAUCAUGAUUCUGAAAAUUGAACGUGCACUAUUCUCACUGGUGGACACUGGUGAGGGUGUAUCGGAUGAAACGCGAGAGGUCCCAGGCGGCCUCAGAGGGGACGAAAUAAAAGCGAUCAGAAAAACGGAUAGAGAACAGAAGCUGAACGAACCGAGAAGAGGUGACAUUUCAGAUAUGAGUUUCGCGGUGAACCACAGUCGGCGGUUGGCGAGGUCAGUGGCGCUUUGCAGAGAGCCUGAUGGCGUCUCUCUCUGAGAAAAUCGACGUUAAAAAUAACUUUUCACCGGCCGACAAUAGAACACGCGAUUCCGCGGACAGACGCGUCCAGAGUGGCUCGUAUCCACUUCGUCGUGCAUGUCCACGCGCACGAAACAUCGAUUUCCCUGGUGUCGCGUUUAUUUCAACGUUUUCGUUAAAUCGGCCCUCAUUGCUGAUCGUUUUGAUCCGUUGAUACAUGUCCGUUAAUUAACUUGUUAAACGACGAAACCGAGCUAACUGGUUAUCUGGAUCGAUAAUUUAUUGCACGUAUUAAUUUCUUUACUUGGAAAAUUUAAAAAUAGAUUCUACAUUAUAUACUUAUGCUCGUAAUACUUUGAGAUAUGUACUUUGAAACUGUUAUAAGUUUUUAGUUUAUAUAACUGACACGAUACGUAAGAUUUUUGUAUGUGCAUUUAGAUCAAGGAAAAUUUCAACAAAUAUAACGAUCGAAUAACAGUAUGAUAGUAAAAACGUCGAUAAAAUAUGACUGUAUCAUGGAAUCAUCGCUAAGACAUUCCUAACACCGCAGAACGAUAAUCACGACAAUAAUCACGACGAUUGGCAAUGAUUAAAACAUCGGUAUAUUAAGUUUGAUUUGGCCUGUGUGUUGACCUAGUGCCAGCAAUCGCGUUUACGUCAGACAACCGUGAGAGACUCGACUUCAUCGCCUAUCUAUCAUUCAGUCAUAAUUACCGGGCGAAUUAUAAUAAAAGAGAAGAGAAGAUAGCCGGCAACCGAUGGUUUUGUUCAUUUUCUGCGAUCGAUCGUCCACGUAAUUACGCACGAGAGUGGAUAGUUAUAUAAACGCGUUCUUUGUUGUCCGGGGAAAAAAGAACAGCAAUUAAUAGGGCGUAUCAAGCGUGGCGCGUGCUGUUGCUUUGUUUUCGCGAUAGAGGCUCUUUCUCUAAUAGGAUUUAUCGAUUCUCAAGAAUCUUCAAGAAAAGUUAAAAUAUUUGAUUCACAUCAUCGAUCGAAGUUAGUUUUUAAUCGAUAUAACGUUUACUUGUAAUUUUUAGUAAUUAAACAUUUAUUUCUAUCUUUGUUUUAUAAUAUAAAAUUUAAAAAUACAUUUUUUGCGAUUUGCGUCGUUAUUUAAACGUCAAUCAUUUCUAUUGCUGCUUUAAUCACAGAUUCAAUUUCCACACCAAUAAAGCUUGAAAAUAAGUAAUAAUGAAAUAAUCACCGAACUUACUUAUAUAGGAAUCAAUUUGUAUACCUUAUAGGCGAAUCAAAGAUUGUCCAUUAUAAGAAAUUAUAAAAUUGCCCAUGAUAAUUGUAGAAAUAUUCGAUAGAAAAUUACUUAAUAAUCGUAAUGAAUAUCUGGCGCCAUUUCUGAUAAUAGUAAUAUUAUUGCAUCAAUUAUUAGAUAAUUACCUUCAAUUAUAUCACAGCGUGAAAAUCAACGCAAAAAAUAACUAUAAAGCAAGAAUUACGAAGAAAUUCAAAUAAAAUAAAGAACAAAAUUAAUGACAAUUGACUGAAAAAGAAAAAAGGAAAAAGUAUAGAUGAAUAAACGAGAAACACGAACGACGAGGUAUCCGGCGUUCUCAUACAUCAUUUGCUAAUUCAUUGCAAUUACUGUUGGUUUGAUAAACAUCGAUGUAAUAUUUACAUUGUUCUCACUUAUGCGACUUGGGUUCAGAGAAAAUCGUCUGUCAUUACAUCGAAAACGAAACGACAGUCGUGUCUAUAUUUUUUGACAAUAGCAGUAAUCAUGUUUCCUAAGAUUUGAUUACAUCAUGAACGAUAGUUUAUUAACGAAGGCACUUGCAACCUUGUAACCUAUUAUGCGU